AUUUCAGAUGAAAACAAAUAUAGAGUUAUCAGGUCAAAUGUGGCAUAUCAUUUAUGCAUGAUGUUAUCACAGAAAAAUUAGAAGCACCAAAAAAACACGCAACACCAAAAAUGUGUUCAUCCACCAAAAAUAGGAGAGGUGGGAUGCAUAUAUAAGUCAUCGGUAUUAAAAGUAUCCAGACAAUGUUAACCCUGCAAGAUGAUCUCUUAAAGAACAUGAGUGAGUGGCUCAUAAGACAAAUGAAAAAUGAUCCGAGACAGGAUACCCAAUUAUCAUAACAAAGUCAGAUGAUAUGAAGCAUAGAGUUUGUACACAUUUAAACACCUGAAAUAUCGAGAAAUAUCGAGCCAGAUUAUUUCCAUUCUCCAAGGAGAAAAACAAACAUAGGCAAAAACUUGACCCCCCCACCGCCAAGGCAAUCCAACCUAUCAGAACCUAUCAUAUAGCCUAAGCAAAACUGCAUUGCCUUGCAGCCUACUGUCAAACUAUCAACAAGAGGAACAGUUUUACAUAGAAAUCUCCUUGCUAACAUACAAGAUGCUAGUCAACUAGACAAAAAAAACCUAGUCCAGUAAUUACAAAUGUAAACAUAAUACACUCAUUAUCAGCCAAUUCUUAUCCAUCGAUUGGUCCAGAAUUUCAUUGAUCAAAUUAUAAGAUCAUAACUUUUGAAUCUGACGACUGAUAAUAACAGUUUGAAGAACAGGACAUUAUAUAUUGUAUAACUUGUUCUUGCCUGUCCCAUGGUAGAUUUCUUCCGUUUGCCGAGUAUAUUCCUGCUUCCUCAGAACUGAAGUCACUAAUUUAAAAGAUUCAACUUAAGGCUAAAAACUCACUUUUCUUUAAAGUAUUCCAAUGAACUUUCAGAAAAGUUACUAUGUCUAAAACUUUGGUUACCAGUUAGGAGUGCGCAGAUAUAAAACAAAAGGAUAGUCGAUGAUUCUAGUCCAAAAAGUUCUUUUUUCACAUGAUGAAUUGUUGGCACCAGUCCUCCAGUCUCAUCUCUCUAGACUUGCUACGAAAGGAACGGGUAGAGAGUCGUACCAUAAGAAAAGCAAUGAGGUCAACUUACUCUAUCAGGAGAAAUUUUAAUCAAUCAAGCAGGGAAAGGUUAUUGGGCUCUCUCUUUGGCUCUAGAUCUCUUUGUUUUUAGUGGUAGAAGUGUAACUCAUUCUAAUAACAACUUAAAUAGAUCAGGGGCUUUCCAAAUUUCUUUUCUACAACCAAAUAAGGAAAUAUAUAUUUCUUCAAAUGGUUAAUCCUUUAUCCCAUCUUUGCAGGAUUAGGAAAAUGAGACCGACCAGCCUGUAACACGUCUUCUGUACAUAACAUACUGAGAAACAACACCUUCAACUAAGAUAAUCACUUAAGUGAGAUUUCAGAAAUGACACUUCUAAACCAUCAUUGCAUUAAGUUCCCUGUUAAAAAAAAAAGGAAAUAAUCUUUUCUUCGGGAAGAGUACAUGUCCUGAUAGCAGACAACAAAGCACGUGAAAAGAGGGCUCUAUUUUAGCCAAGCAAUGUAAAAUGCCACACAUCUAUAUUGGUCACCUUGUGCCCAACAGCUCUCAUUCUGCAUUGUUACCAAAA